GCGAGCGGGAGGCAGCACCGGCGACACCACGUGUUGCAGGGAGGAGGGCGGCUCUGAGGAGCGGCUCAGGAAGCAGAUGGGCGGAGCUGUCUCCGUCUUCCCACAUGGCCCGCCAGCCCCGCCCCGCUCCCUGCUCCGCGCAAUUUCAUAGGAAAAAUCGCUGCCCAGGGGCGGAAGGGGACGACGAGGUGGGGCGGGGCUCUGCGUGGCGCGCCUGGGCGGCGAGCUUGGGCUGGAAAUGAUCCCGCCGGCGAUCCCAAAGUCAAGGCGUGGGAGCCAGCGAUCUGCCCACGCCCCCAAAGUGAGGCCAUCCCACGGGCUCUGGGGCAAACGCCUCUUACCCUAGGCAGCCAGUCCCCACAGGCUGGAAUGUAGAUAAAAGUGCCAGAAGCACCCAUGCUGAAAACAAACUAAACAAGAGGAAUAGUUCAUAUAGCGGCAAAGCUGGAAAGUAUCUGGACAGUCAUCUACCAUCCUCCGGAUUUUUUUGUUUUUGAGACGGAGUCUCGUUCUCUCACCCAGGCUGGAGCGCAGUGGUGUGAUCUCGGCUCACUGCAACCUCCACCUCCCAGGUUCAAGAGAUUCUCCUGCCUCAGCCACCCGAGUAGCUGGGAGGGACUACAGCCAGCAAGGACCUAAGGACCAGCCCCGGUCAAUCCUGCAGAAGUCUGCAGCCUCAGCUAACAGUGAGACACAACCUCAGGAGAGGCUCCCAGCCAGAACCACCCGGGUAAGCCACUCCUGGACUUGGGACCCAUAGAAACUGAAAUAUUCACUGUUUGUGGUUUUAAG
rnacentral:lncRNA from 13 species